AGAGUUUGAUCCUGGCUCAGGAUGAACGCUAGCGGCAGGCUUAACACAUGCAAGUCGAGGGGCAGCGAGUAGAUUGCUUGCAAUCUGCGUCGGCGACCGGCGGACGGGUGCGUAACGCGUAUGCAACCUACCCAUUACAGGGGGAUAACACUGAGAAAUCGGUACUAAUACCCCAUAACAUCAGAGGAGGCAUCUCCUUUGGUUGAAAACUCCGGUGGUAAUGGAUGGGCAUGCGUUGUAUUAGUUAGUUGGUAAGGUAACGGCUUACCAAGACUACGAUACAUAGGGGGACUGAGAGGCUAACCCCCCACAUUGGUACUGAGACACGGACCAAACUCCUACGGGAGGCAGCAGUGAGGAAUAUUGGUCAAUGGACGCAAGUCUGAACCAGCCAUGCCGCGUGCAGGAAGACGGCUCUAUGAGUUGUAAACUGCUUUUGUACGAGGGUAAACGCAGAUACGUGUAUCUGUCUGAAAGUAUCGUACGAAUAAGGAUCGGCUAACUCCGUGCCAGCAGCCGCGGUAAUACGGAGGAUUCAAGCGUUAUCCGGAUUUAUUGGGUUUAAAGGGUGCGUAGGCGGUUGGAUAAGUUAGAGGUGAAAUCCCGGGGCUCAACUCCGGAAUUGCCUCUGAUACUGUUCGGCUAGAGAUCAGUUGCGGUAGGCGGAAUGUAUGGUGUAGCGGUGAAAUGCUUAGAUAUCACGAAGAACUCCGAUUGCGAAGGCAGCCUACUAAACUGCCACUGACAUUGAUGCUCGAAAGUGUGGGUAUCAAACAGGAUUAGAUACCCUGGUAGUCCACACGGUAAACGAUGAAUGCUGGCUGUCCGGGGGGGAUUGACCCCUGGGUGGGCGAAGCGAAAGCGAUAAGCAUUCCACCUGGGGAGUACGCCGGCAACGGUGAAACUCAAAGGAAUUGACGGGGGCCCGCACAAGCGGAGGAACAUGUGGUUUAAUUCGAUGAUACGCGAGGAACCUUACCCGGGCUCAAACGGGUAGUGACUCAGGCAGAGACGCCUGUUUCCCACGGGACACUCCCCGAGGUGCUGCAUGGUUGUCGUCAGCUCGUGCCGUGAGGUGUCGGCUUAAGUGCCAUAACGAGCGCAACCCCCGCGUGCAGUUGCUAACAGAUAACGCUGAGGACUCUGCACGGACUGCCGGCGCAAGCCGCGAGGAAGGCGGGGAUGACGUCAAAUCAGCACGGCCCUUACGUCCGGGGCGACACACGUGUUACAAUGGGUGGUACAGCGGGAAGCCAGGCGGCGACGCCGAGCGGAACCCGAAAUCCACUCUCAGUUCGGAUCGGAGUCUGCAACCCGACUCCGUGAAGCUGGAUUCGCUAGUAAUCGCGCAUCAGCCAUGGCGCGGUGAAUACGUUCCCGGGCCUUGUACACACCGCCCGUCAAG
rnacentral:rRNA from 1 species